rnacentral:lncRNA from 1 species
GGAAGUAUUAUAUUGACAGGAACUACUACGACCCGACUUCUGAAAACGUUUCAUCUGCGAUGCCGCGCCCAAUUUAAUGACAUGUUAAUUAGCUUGAAACAUGGCACGUUAUUUACAUACCAGCGUUAGGUGCCCUACAAUAUUGUCAUUCUCGGUUGCUUUCGGGAUUACGGAAAUAAACGAAGAAAUCGAAAGUUGUAAUAAAUUCUUAGGAAACAGCAAUCGGCAAACCUCGGCAGAUUCCGUUACCUAACUGUGCCGAUUGAGUGAUUGAUGGAUUAAUGCGAGUCAUCAUAAAUUCUAUAGAAAAACACAUUGACGAUGGAAAUUUGUACCAAAUUUAUUGAAUAAAUGCC